rnacentral:rRNA from 1 species
GACGGGACCCGCACAAGCGGUGGAUGAUGUGGUUUAAUUCGAUGCAACGCGAAAACCUUACCACCUUUGACAUGUACGGAAUCCUUUAGAGAUAGAGGAGUGCUCGAAAGAGAGCCGUAACACAGGUGCUGCAUGGCUGUCGUCAGCUCGUGUCGUGAGAUGUUGGGUUAAGUCCCGCAACGAGCGCAACCCUUGUCAUUAGUUGCUACGAAAGGGCACUCUAAUGAGACUGCCGGUGACAAACCGGAGGAAGGUGGGGAUGACGUCAAGUCCUCAUGGCCCUUAUAGGUGGGGCUACACACGUCAUACAAUGGCUGGUACAAAGGGUUGCCAACCCGCGAGGGGGAGCCAAUCCCAUAAAGCCAGUCGUAGUCCGGAUCGCAGUCUGCAACUCGACUGCGUGAAGUCGGAAUCGCUAGUAAUCGUGGAUCAGCAUGUCACGGUGAAUACGUUCCCGGGUCUU